GAUGAACGCUGGCGGCGUGCUUAACACAUGCAAGUCGAACGAAGCACUUUAACCUGAUUCUUCGGAUGAAGGUUUUUGUGACUGAGUGGCGGACGGGUGAGUAACGCGUGGGUAACCUGCCUCAUACAGGGGGAUAACAGUUAGAAAUGACUGCUAAUACCGCAUAAGACCACAGAGCCGCAUGGCUCGGUGGGAAAAACUCCGGUGGUAUGAGAUGGACCCGCGUCUGAUUAGGUAGUUGGUGGGGUAACGGCCUACCAAGCCAACGAUCAGUAGCCGACCUGAGAGGGUGACCGGCCACAUUGGGACUGAGACACGGCCCAAACUCCUACGGGAGGCAGCAGUGGGGAAUAUUGCACAAUGGGGGAAACCCUGAUGCAGCGACGCCGCGUGAGCGAAGAAGUAUUUCGGUAUGUAAAGCUCUAUCAACAGGGAAGAAAAUGACGGUACCUGACUAAGAAGCACCGGCUAAAUACGUGCCAGCAGCCGCGGUAAUACGUAUGGUGCAAGCGUUAUCCGGAUUUACUGGGUGUAAAGGGAGCGUAGACGGCUGUGUAAGUCUGAAGUGAAAGCCCGGGGCUCAACCCCGGGACUGCUUUGGAAACUAUGCAGCUAGAGUGUCGGAGAGGUAAGUGGAAUUCCCAGUGUAGCGGUGAAAUGCGUAGAUAUUGGGAGGAACACCAGUGGCGAAGGCGGCUUACUGGAC
rnacentral:rRNA from 1 species